GGAAAUGCCACACCUUCGAGGCAACUGCCACAAACAUUCAGUCACAUGCUCCCCUGAAAUGUGAUGAUGGAGCCCCUGCAAAGGAACCUCAUCUACCCAUAGGAGCGUGGGGUGAUGGUUCCAGCACAGUGCUGGGAAAUGAGGCUCAACACCACAAUCAGGUUAGAUCACUACCAUGGCACGGACAGCGGGGGGAACUCACACCACUCGUUUCUUUGAAACUGCAGAAAACAUCCAGGUUUCAGCCUCAUCUUGGCAGUGACUAAUUCUGUUUACCUAUGAACAUUCACAGUAGCUGAGGUGAUGCCCACAUCACAGCAAGAG